GACGAACGCUGACGGCAUGCCUAAUACAUGCAAGUCGAGCGAACAGAUGAAGUGCUUGCACUUCUGACGUUAGCGGCGAACAGGUGAGUAACACGUAAGGAAUCUACCUAUAAGCGGGGGAUAACAUUCGGAAACGGGUGCUAAUACCGCAUAAUAUCUUCUUCCGCAUGGAAGAAGAUUGAAAGACGGCUCUGCUUUCACUUAUAGAUGACCUUGCGGUGCAUUAGUUAGUUGGUGGGGUAACGGCCUACCAAGACGAUGAUGCAUAGCCGACCUGAGAGGGUGAUCGGCCACAUUGGGACUGAGACACGGCCAAAACUCCUACGGGAGGCAGCAGUAGGGGAUCUUCCGCAAUGGGCGAAAGCCUGACGGAGCAGUGCCGCGUGAGUGAAGAAGGCCUUCGGGUCGUAAAACUCUGUUAUAAGAGAAGAACAAAUUGUAGAGUAACUGCUACAGUCUUGACGGUAUCUUAUCAGAAAGCCACGGCUAACUACGUGCCAGCCGCCGCGGUAA
rnacentral:rRNA from 1 species